rnacentral:rRNA from 1 species
AGCAGCCGCGGUAAUUCCAGCUCCAAUAGCGUAUAUUAAAGUUGCUGCAGUUAAAAAGCUCGUAGUUGAAUUUCGGGACCAAUAUGUCGGUCGUGCCUCGGUACGUACUGGCAUCGUUGGUUUCUCCCUUCCGACGAACCAUGAUGUCAUUUAUUUGGUGUCGUGGGGAAUCAGGACUGUUACUUUGAAAAAAUUAGAGUGUUUAAAGCAGGCUCACGCUUGAAUACAUUAGCAUGGAAUAAUGAAAUAGGACGUUUGAUUCUAUUUUGUUGGUUUCUAGGAUCGACGUAAUGAUUAAUAGGGAUAGUUGGGGGCAUUAGUAUUCAAUUGUCAGAGGUGAAAUUCUUGGAUUUAUUGAAGACUAACUACUGCGAAAGCAUUUGCCAAGGAUGUUUUCAUUAAUCAAGAACGAAAGUUAGGGGAUCGAAGACGAUCAGAUACCGUCGUAGUCUUAACCAUAAACUAUGCCGACUAGGGAUCGGAUGAUGUUAAUUUUUAAUGACUCAUUCGGCGCCUUAAC